rnacentral:tRNA from 1 species
GGGCAGUUAACUCAGUGGUAGAGUGCUUCCUUCACACGGAAGAAGUCGUUGGUUCAAGUCCAAUACCGCCCA